ACUGUUUUGUUCCAGAAACCUAACAGUUGUGCUUCUGGGCAUUGCUCUUGCUGAAUGUAUCAAAAUGUUUUGUAACUGUUUGAACUUUGUGACCUCUCAGGAAUGUUCUGUAACUCUACCCACCCCCUCCUUCAGUGAGCAUGCUCACCUACCAAAUAGACCCUUAUAUAAGGAGGCUCCCGUUUGUAGUCAAGCACUCAGACUUUGGAGUAUGAACUCCACUGAGCCCACUGUCGUAAUAAAGGUUUUUCUCCACCUCUUCAAGUGACCAUCAGAUGCUCGAGUCUUCAAAUUGCAAUAGCUGUGAUGCUGAGCUGUGACACUCUGCUGUAACACUGAGCUCUAACACUUGGCUGUGCCUCAGAGCUGUAACACUUGGCUAUAGCACUGAGCUGUUCUGCUUUGCCACAACACCCAGAGCACUGGGAUUACAGGUGUAGCCCACAUUAGCUCAGAGGGAAUGUUGUAUAUUUUUGGGGGGUACCAGGGUUUGAACUCAGGACCUUGUGCUUGUGAGGCAGGCGGUGGAACCACUGAGCUAAAUCCCCAGCCUGGGAAUGUUGUAUUAAAUCAUCACUGCCAGACCAUCAGUUUUCUCUCUGAAGAUACACACCAGGUCAUGGAGCAGAAGCGGUAAACUCACAGAGGUGCUGAAUGACCAACAAGUGACAAGAACCUGUUGAUGUGAGUAUGUCCGGAAUCUUCCGAUCAGCACCUGUCUGGGUUGCUAUGUAUGUAUCCACGUUGACAGUUCAUGUACUGCAGUGUAUUUAUCACCUCCCUUUCGAAUUGAACUGAGAACUCUAAGCGCCUGAUUUAAACCAUCAGCUGGAGAGCUUGCUGAGGCAGGCACAGCUGAAAGGCUUGGGCUCUGUGGUUGCCGAGCAAGACCUGAGCAGUCAGUCGCCCCUUGAACUGUAGGGCUCUGCACCUUGCUUCCCUAUGCUCACCACUUGUGGUAUUUGGAACUGGAUAGAGCCAGAAAUUCCAAAAAGAAGCCACCUCAGCAAAAUCAACAAUCUGUUUUUCCUUGAAAAUUCAAAGACGCACUAGACAAAUGAGUCCCUCUGAAAAGCUGUCCUUUUGUAAAGGAAAAUGAUAUCUACAAAGAAAAAUGAUCACCAGACAAGGUACCGGGAAGAGAGGCUUCAGACAACUUCUACAGCCUGAAAGCCUUUCAUCUACAAAAAGCAAACUGCUUUAUCCACCGUCCAUUUCCUUCUCUCCCUCUUAUAAUUUGUCUCCAUCUGCCCCAGAAGCCCGGUGCUCUUCCUGCCCUCAGGAUGCUCUAUAAACCUCGGUCAUGGGACCUUUCUGUGUGUCUCAUACUUUGGUGGGAUUUCCAUGUGUGAGAAAGCAGUUACAAUGGUUUCUCUCCUAUGUCAGUUUAAACUGUAGCCAAAGACGCCAGGAGGGCAGAGAGAAGCCAAGGGUCCCUCUCCCCAAAGGCAAGGCGAUGGGGUGGGAACUUGGAGGGGCCAGAGGAAGGGCAGAGAACCUAGUGGGAGACACUGACCCCUGGCCCCAGACAGAGCCAAGCCUCCGAGGGACGAAGGCCACCUCCCGGUUUCCUGUGCAAGGUGCUAACUACAUGGGGAAGGUCACCACUUACCGGUCUGUGGGAGAGAAUCUAGGUCCGCAAGUUUGGUCUGGGUGAGGACGGGGAACUUGGACCACAGCAGAGUACAGCGAUGUACUGUAGCUGGCCCGGCCAUUGUACUUCUGUCUCCUAGAAGCCUAUAGCCACCUGAAGGAAGGUGAAGUGCUCUGUGGCUGCACAGCAUGAGCACCACUUCCUCUGAGACCCCAGUCAGGAGAGAGGUUCCACACAUCCCUGGGGGAGCUCUUCCUGGAGCUGGGCAGAAAGGACAACAAACACGUUUCCACCAAGUAUCCAACGCCAUCAUAACCCCCUGACCACAUGGCCACAGGCGGCAAGUGUAGGCCACUCAGGAGCAUGGGGAGGACAGUGUGAGGGUUCCCAUGACCUCAGCCUGAUGCUGUCCACACUGGAGAAACAGCUCCCUCCGCUAAGUGAGCCCAGGCACCUGCUUUCUGGUACUGGAGGAACAGCUCUGGAGGCAUGCAAGGGAACAUGCUUCCAGAGCAGAUCUGCCGCUGGGCAUCUGACUGUCCCUGAACUACAGGGAGUCCAGAGGAACAGUGACGGUGAGGACAAGAACGAGGGGUCAGCAGCAGCUCCACUCCUGUUGUUCUUCACAGUUUACAGCUGGAGGGCACUCUUGGGCAUCCCCCUCCCUGCUGUGGCAUCUCCAACUCCUGCUUUUUCUCUUGUGAAAGUGGAGGCCGUUCUUGGCAAGUCUCUUUCUUUCUAGCUGAUAUUCUAGAGUCAACUUUGACGAUGCCUCUUCCUUCUCUUGCUUCAGCAAGCACAUUGUCUGCUUCCCCAUUGACAAAUCUCCAUCCAGCUCCUUCCCCCCUGCUGUGCCCACUUAACACACCAGGUUAGGAGUGAAGGGUGCAAGGAAAUGUGAGAUUCAGUCCCUGUGAUCAGGAUGUCACUGUGAGCUAACCAAUAUGUCAGGAUGGAAGGACCUCCACUAUUUUGGUAAAAUAGACUCAGUGUGUUGGUUGGAAAGUUUCGUUUCGGCUUGAUUUGAUUUGAUUUUUCCAUGAUCAACACUUUGAUGAGAUACUGCUCUUCUCAAACCUUUCUUUAACCACCAAAGACUCCCCCAAAAUCUCUGAUGUACACUUACAUACAAUAUCUUAGGUGCCCGGCUAAGGGCUUCAUAACAACGGGCUCCUGGGCUGAGGUGUAGCUCAGUGGUAGAGCACUUGCAGAGCGUGUAUGAGGCCUUGAGUUUGAUCUGUAGACACACACACACACACACAAAUAAUAAUAGUUCUUAUGAUAAAUACAGCUGAUAAAAUUUCCAGAAUGUUCUAAAUUUAAUCGCAAAGACCACAGGGUGGUAGUGGGUUAGUCAGCUAACAGCUGCUGGCAAAACCAACAAGAAGACUGCUUAUGUUUGAAUGGGAUUUAUGAUUUAAACACCAGGGCUUUAUUGCUGUACACAUAAACUCUCUGGACCAUUGAUACCAACCAAUCCAAGAGCAACAAGAAGAACUACUUCUCCUUCUCCUUCUCCUUCUUCUCCUCCUCCUCCUUCUUCUUUUCUUUGUUUUAGCUUUGGAGCUGGGGAUUGAACCCAGCAAGCUCACACAUGCUAAGUGCGUGUUCUACCCCGAGCUCCACCCGAGCCUGCUUGUCCUCAGUCCUCCUGUCCCUCCUGUGCCUGCUGCACCUGAUCCACCCCUCCUAUCUAGAAUCAGUGCAGGUUACUCUGUAGGAAGUGCUUUCCUUCUCCCAAGUUUAUUAAAAAUGCUCUGAGUUCUGGCCUGGUGACAUUUUCCAACUGCCACCUGGCCCUGCUGCUGGUAAUUGUGGAAACUCGUCCCAGGACCUGGUGCCUUUUCUGCCUAACAUCUCUAAUGGCUCAAGAAACUCUUUCAUUUCAGAGAUCCUUUGGUCUCUAGAGUUUCAACCUCACAUAUAAUUUUGAUAUGAUGUACAUUUCCUUAGCCAGGUGUGCACUGCUAUGACUGAGUCCAAGCUUCAUCUUCUCCUUCUUCCUCUCCUCCUCCUUCUUCUUUUCCUCCUUUUUUCUUUUUUUUCUUUUGACAGAAUCCCACUCUGUAGUGCAGGCUGGCCCUGAACUCACUAUGUAGCCCAGGCUGGCCUCGAACUGCCAGCGAUCCUCCUGCUUCAGCCUCCUGAGUGCUGGGAUUACAGGCGAGCGCCACUAUGCUUGGGCUUCUUCCUCCUCCACCUACUCUUCCUCCUUCUCCGCCACCUUUCUUCUCUUCUUCCUCCUCACCUCCCUCCUUUUCUUCCUCUUCCUUCUCUCUCUCUCUUUUUGGUACUAGGGAUGGAACCCAAGGCUGCUCUACCACUGAGCUAUGUCCCC
ensembl:lncRNA